ACAGAGGACUGAGUUUUGUGAAAUUUUUCUCUUAAAUGAAAGGAAGACAUUAUUUUUUGUGUUGACAAAAGUCGUAAAUUGUUUGUAAAAUAAAUACUCUUUCUGUGGACAAUCCAUCAAAUUGCAAAAAGAAGUGAAAAAAUUUCUGUAUCGACGGAGGAAAGGGACUUCAAGCGGGAGAUUGAGGAGUCGAAGGCUAAGGUGAAGUUUCUGUAACUUUUUUUUUCUACUUUUGUCUUCCCUUCAAAUUUGUUCAUUAUUGAGUUUUAUAAAAAUAAUAUUUAACCUGUUGUUGCUAAAUCUGUUUGUUGAGUUUGUUUUUAUUUUUGAAAAUUAGUAUUUAUUUUAUACUUCUUUUAACAUUUGAGAAACUGUAAUGGUUAUUUAUAGAUAAGUUAUAUUUGUUUCGUGAUUUUGAAAAGCAGGGAAGUGAUGAAUUUUUGCUAAAUUUGUGAGUACUGUUUUAUGGAUUGAAGACUUGUUAAAAUUAUUCUUCAAGAUUUAUUAUUUUCUUUUUGUAGUGCAUUAAUUAAUAUUUUUUGUAAUAAUUAUUUGAUGGAAUUAUAAAAUAGCUUAGAAUGAAUGAAAGGAAAAGAAAUAACAUAUAAUGAAGAAUGAUAUGGUUAACUAUUUUUUUAGAAUUUUAGAAUUUACAACGACAGAUUGAAUAACAUUAUCAAAUAUUUUUACUGUAUGGACAUAUUAUCUAUUAUAGAAGUGAAUGGAUAAAAAUUAGAAAAGGUAGAGAAAGAAGAAAGCAUUAAAUGCAGUUUGUCAAAAUGAAAAUAUUGGCUUGGGAAAUGAGUAUUGUGUUAAUCGUGUAUCUAUACUAUUGUAGAUUAACGAAGAAAUUUGUGCGUAUGAUUUUUGAUAUAAUAUAGGAAUAAUGACAGUUUUGAAAAGUUAUUAUAUUUAAACUAUAUGUUUUUGCAAGAUGAACCGUCUGAAAUUUCAAAUUUUUUAUUUUUUUAAUUUUUUUCUGUCUUUCGUUUUAACUAUAACUGUAACUAAACUAUUUAAUUGUUUAGCAUGAGUUCAAGCAUCUAAAAAAAGUUAAAUUUUAGUUUAUUUUUUAACUUAUUUUUUUGUUUGUUUAUUUGUAUAGUUAAAUACUUUUU
rnacentral:lncRNA from 1 species